GGGAUAAGCAACCCAAACCCAUUAUAACCACAUGUUCCUUCUCAUUAUUUUCCUGUCAACAAAGAAGCAGUGAUUCUUUCUUUUCUUCCUUGAGCUCUCAUCCCUCUCUCACGCCGCUGCCUCCUCUUGUUCUUCAUCUUGUUCUUUCCAAAAUUCUUCAAGCAAUUUUAGAUCAUCAAUCCUCAGCCCUAAUGUUAGAAAUAAUAUAAAACCAUUGAUGUGGCCUUUCCUAACAGCUUAAGCUUUUGGGAUAAUCGGUCAUAUAUGAUAUGGUAUCAGAGCCUCUAUGACUAAGUGGUCUAGAAUUCGAUCCCCGCUCCCCUCACUUUCUAAUUAAAAAGUGGAAUUUAAAAAAAAGCAUAUGGUAGGUGGGCCUAUGCAUUAUCCACGCUUCAAGCCCAAGUGGGCUCUUGCGUGAGGGGGCGUGUUAGAAAUAAUAUAAAACCAUUGAUGUGGCCUUUCCUAACAGCUUAAGCUUUUGGGAUAAUCGGUUAUUUGAUACCUAAGCUCUCUAGUAGGAAGUGGAAUUGAAGGCCAAAGCUCAAGAGGAAGUUGAAACUCUCAAUUCAGAUUUGUGACCAAGUUUCAGAGCUAGAAUCAAACACCAAUUCAGGUACCCCGGUGUAGUCAGCACCUUAGUUGGAUAGUAGAAACCUACUGAGGCUUAAUAGUCUCACCCCUGCUAUUUAUUGAUUUCAGAUAAGCAGGGUGAUCGAGGUAAGAAAGCUAUGGAGUGACUAGCUUGAAGACCUUAGGACUUAUGUUUAUUUUCGCAUAUUUUCUACAAGUUGUUAUGUGAUCCUUCUCUUGAACUUCAAGUACUAUGUACUGUUUUAUUUGUGAUACCUGUGUCGGGAGGACUGAUGUGUUAAGUCAAGUACUUCUUGGAUCAUGAUAAUGUAACUUAUGUUGUAUUCGUGCUUGAACAAAACUUUCGGUUGUAAAUUUAAUGUAUCUUAUGUAUGUUCCCUAUUAUAUUCUAGACUAGACUAUUUGAUA